UACAGAGGGUGCAAGCGUUAAUCGGAAUUACUGGGCGUAAAGCGUGCGUAGACGGUUAUUUAAGUCGGAUGUGAAAUCCCCGGGCUCAACCUGGGAAUUGCAUUCGAUACUGGAUGGCUAGAGUUCGGCAGAGGGAAGUGGAAUUUCAGGUGUAGCGGUGAAAUGCGUAGAUAUCUGGAGGAACACCGGUGGCGAAGGCGGCGUUCUGGACUGCAACUGACACUGAGAAACGAAAGCCAGGGUAGCAAACGGG
rnacentral:rRNA from 1 species